rnacentral:rRNA from 1 species
AUACAAUGGCGGUACAGAGGGUUGCCAACCCGCGAGGGGAGCUAAUCCCACAAAGCCGAUCGUAGUCCGGAUCGCAGUCUGCAACUCGACUGCGUGAAGUCGGAAUCGCUAGUAAUCGUGGAUCAGCAUGUCACGGUGAAUACGUUCCCGGGUCUU